AGAGUUUGAUCCUGGCUCAGAACGAACGCUGGCGGCGUGCUUAACACAUGCAAGUCGAACGCGAAAAGGGACUUCGGUCCCGAGUAGAGUGGCGCACGGGUGAGUAACGCGUAAGUAAUCUACCCCUGUAUCUGGAAUAACCCACCGAAAGGUGUGCUAAUACCGGAUACGUUGGUAACAAGAAAGGUGGCCUCUGCAUAUGCUACCGUGCUGGGAUGAGCUUGCGUACCAUUAGCUAGUUGGUAGGUAAAGGCCUACAAGGCGACGAUGGUUAGCGGGUCUGAGAGGAUGAUCCGCCACACUGGAACUGGAACACGGACCAGACUCAUACGGGAGGCAGCAGUGAGGAAUAUUGCGCAAUGGGGGCAACCCUGACGCAGCGACGCCGCGUGGAUGAUGAAGGCCUUCGGGUCGUAAAAUCCUGUCAGAUGGAAAGAAGUGCAUAGUGGGUUAAUACCGCUAUGUUUGACGGUACCAUCGAAGGAAGCACCGGCUAACUCCGUGCCAGCCGCCGCGGUAAUA
rnacentral:rRNA from 1 species